GAUGAACGCUGGCGGCGUGCUUAACACAUGCAAGUCGAACGGAAAGGCCCAAGCUUGCUUGGGUACUCGAGUGGCGAACGGGUGAGUAACACGUGGGUGAUCUGCCCUGCACUUCGGGAUAAGCCUGGGAAACUGGGUCUAAUACCGGAUAGGACCACUUCUUGGAUGUUGUGGUGGAAAGUUUUUUCGGUGUGGGAUGAGCUCGCGGCCUAUCAGCUUGUUGGUGGGGUAAUGGCCUACCAAGGCGUCGACGGGUAGCCGGCCUGAGAGGGUGUACGUCCACAUUGGGACUGAGAUACGGCCCAGACUCCUACGGGAGGCAGCAGUGGGGAAUAUUGCACAAUGGGCGCAAGCCUGAUGCAGCGACGCCGCGUGGGGGAUGACGGCCUUCGGGUUGUAAACUCCUUUCGCUAGGGACGAAGCGUUUUGUGACGGUACCUGGAGAAGAAGCACCGGCUAACUACGUG
rnacentral:rRNA from 1 species